UACGUAGGGUGCAAGCGUUGUCCGGAAUUAUUGGGCGUAAAGAGCUCGUAGGCGGUUUGUCGCGUCUGCUGUGAAAACCCGAGGCUCAACCUCGGGCCUGCAGUGGGUACGGGCAGACUAGAGUGCGGUAGGGGAGAUUGGAAUUCCUGGUGUAGCGGUGGAAUGCGCAGAUAUCAGGAGGAACACCGAUGGCGAAGGCAGGUCUCUGGGCUGUAACUGACGCUGAGGAGCGAAAGCAUGGGGAGCGAACAGG
rnacentral:rRNA from 1 species